rnacentral:sRNA from 1 species
UUCCUCACCAACCACACAGAUCUGUGUCCAGCGAUCCCGGCCAGUGUGUUUUCUCUUCGGAGGAACACUACUGUGAUCGGUUGAUUGCUGGUCAGUUCGACGACUAAGGAGCCACCCCGUCUUCGGACAUGGUGUCAAUUUCCUGUCGACAGAUCUCAGAACGAUUGUCAGCUCCGGGGGCACUCUGGCCUUGAGCUCCUUCUCUUCUCUCGGAGGGCUGGUGAGCUCGGUUGGAUCCCUGGCUGCUGGCGGCGCCAUAUUCCUGGUCCCUUCACCGAUUGCGAGUUCUCUGGACUCGCAUGGCCGUCGGCCGGUGAGGUUAGGGAAAAACCAUGGCUGGCCAACAUUU